GAACAGAGGACAAGGCUGUGUGGUGGGGCGGGUGACAACUCGGUGACAUCCUCUGCUGCAGCAGCCUGGCUGAGGAGUCCCUCCCAUGGAAGACAGUCCUCCAUGAAUUUCUGCAAGGGCCGCAGUUCCUGCCAGGAGCCUGCUGCAGCAUGUGCUUCCAUGGGGUCACAGCCUCCUUUGGGCAUCCACCUGCUCCAGCGUGGGGUCCUCCACAGUGGAGGAGUGUCUGCUCCACUCCAUGGGCUCCAGAGGCACAGCCUGCCCUCAUAUGGGCUGUGCCAUGGGCUGCAGGGGAACCUCUGCUCUGGCACCUGGAUCACCUCCUCCCCCUCCUCCUUCACUGACCUUGGUGUCUGCAGGGCUGUUUCUCUGACAUGUUCUCACUCCUCUCUCCAGCUGCAGUUGCUCUCAUUUUCUCAAAGGUGCUACCAUCAUCAGUGACGGGCUCAGCACUGGCCAGAUUCGGAUCCAUUUAGGUCUGGCUGUCAAUGGCUCCAUUGGACAUGGGGGAAACUUCUGGCAGCUUCUCACAGAGGCCACCCUUAGAGCACCCCACUAAAAAA